rnacentral:rRNA from 1 species
UGGGGGAUAUUGCACAAUGGGCGAAAGCCUGAUGCAGCGACGCCGCGUGGGGGAUGAAGGCUUUCGGGUUGUAAACCUCUUUCGCUAUCGAACAAGGCCCGCUUAGGGUGGGUUGAGGGUAGGUGGAGAAGAAGCGCCGGCUAACUACGUGCCAGCAGCCGCGGUAAUACGUAGGGCGCGAGCGUUGUCCGAAAUUAUUGGGCGUAAAGGGCUUGUAGGCGGCUUGUUGCGCCUGCUGUGAAAACGCGGGGCUUAACUUCGCGCGUGCAGUGGGUACGGGCAGGCUUGAGUGUGGUAGGGGUGACUGGAAUUCCAGGUGUAGCGGUGGAAUGCGCAGAUAUCUGGAGGAACACCGAUGGCGAAGGCAGGUCACUGGGCCAUUACUGACGCUGAGGAGCGAAAGCAUGGGUAGCGAACAGG